AUGAUAUCUGUACCUUUUCUUUUCAACAGAGGCUGCUCAUAUUCUCCAUUACACCUUUUGUUGCAUACAAUGAAUAAGCAAGGUGGUCCUUUAAAUCAGAGCUCUGGAGGUUUCUGCAAAAAUACCUCUUUGCACAAAAACAAAAACUGGGUGAUCUUUAAGGUCCCUUUCAACACAAAUCAUUCUAUGAUUCUAAAUUUAAGAGGAAGGGAUCAGUCUGAAGAUGCACCCUGGAUUGUGGCCAGCUUUUUUGCUGUAUUUUAUUCCUGUAGCACCAUAAUGCCAUUUGGAUGAGUAAGAUCACUGAUCUCUGGUACAUGCACCUUUCUUCAGCAAUGUUAAAGGAAGAGAACUAGUGUUGGGUCUAUUUAAGUGUUGUCUACCUGGAUUCCUACACCAUGCUCUGUAAUCAAGGCCAUUUCCUGUGAAUCAUCAACUCCUCUGGUUCAAAUCAGAUUAAAAAUGAAUAAAUAUAAAUAAAUAAAUAAAUAGUCUGUGAAC
rnacentral:lncRNA from 1 species